AACAAUGUAAUAUCAACAAUUCAAACUCUAAUUCCAUCUAUCUCUUCCUGUUCUUCCUCUGUUCUUCGUGUUCUUCCUCCGUUCUUUCCCCUUUUCCAAGUCUUCCUCUUCUUCUUCUGAUUCUGCGAGAGAAAUAUGUUGCAGCGAGACUUGAGACUGUGACAGAUACAUGGGCUCAAAUCGUGAGUGGCAGCCCAGUUACGGCCUGCGUGGGGAUUCUCACCGACCUGCGUUGCCUUCGCUGCUCGCACGAAAGGGAACCUGGCCCCCGACCCCGAGGUCUCCCUCAACUGUGGACGGCGGACGCCGCGCGCUCGCCGCAGGGGCGCCGGCUGCGGCAGUGGGGAUCAGGCGCCGUCGCGCGCCCACGGCGUCCUCCCGUGCGGUUGGUCCUCUGCGCCGGGCUCCCCUCCCGUGAUCCUCCCACCGGUUCCUCUCAAGAGUUCAGACAUUCUCAGUCAACUGGGGAGCAAAUUUCUUUACGGCGUCACCAACUGUCAGGCAUAUCUUUUCUUCACCAAUGAGCUCUGUGAAUUUUGCUGACCGGAGCUUUUGGAUCACAGCCGCCCCAGGAUUGGCGAAAAUCAGCUUUUAUUUGGACAACCUCCACUUCAACUUAUCUGGAAAUACAGCACAAUUGCUUGGCUUUUCUAAUGGCAAAGAUCAAGUUGUGAAUGAGAACUCACGAUUGCGACGCCUUGUUUGUCAGCACGAGUGAUGUAGACGAACAAAGUUGAAAUGAUCACCGAAAUGAGUGGUGCAAUUGCUGGGACCCAGAAGAGCUUCUUGUUCUUCUUGCCCUGAAUAAUCCCAGUGGACAAGUGUGAUCAUCAGUUCAUCAACAAUAGUCAAGAGAAGAGAUCAAGAAGUUGGAGAGGUACAAAAAUACUUGCCCCAUGGUGAACAUUUCCCCAGACUGAUUUCAUGACCGAGAUGAUGUCAGUCUUCUUGGUGAAGUUUGCAAUUCCAAGGAAGCCUUUAAGCUGCUGAAGAGCAAUGGUGAUGGCG